rnacentral:rRNA from 1 species
GACGAACGCUGGCGGCGUGCUUAACACAUGCAAGUCGAACGGAAAGGCCCUGCUUUUGUGGGGUGCUCGAGUGGCGAACGGGUGAGUAACACGUGAGUAACCUGCCCUUGACUUUGGGAUAACUUCAGGAAACUGGGGCUAAUACCUGAUAGGAGCUCCUGCUGCAUGGUGGGGGUUGGAAAGUUUCGGCGGGUGGGGAUGGGCUCGCGGCUUAUCAGCUUGUGGGUGGGGUAGUGGCUUACCAAGGCUUUGCCGGGUAGCCGGCCUGUGCGGGUGAGCGGCCACAUUGGGACUGAGAUGCGGCCCAGCCUCCUCCGGGAGGCAGCGGUGGGGAAUAUUGCACAAUGGGCGGAAGCCUGAUGCAGCAACGCCGCGUGCGGGAUGACGGCCUUCGGGUUGUAAACCGCUUUCGCAUGUGACGAAGCGUGAGUGACGGUAAUGGGUAAAGAAGCACCGGCUAACUACGUG